CCUACGGUGUGCUGCAGUGGGGAAUAUUGGGCAAUGGGCGCAACUCUUACCCAGCAACGCCGUGUGAAGGAAGAAGGUCUUCGGGUUGUAAACUUCUUUUCUCAGGGACGAAGAAAGUGACGGUACCUGAGGAAUAAGCCACGGCUAACUACGUGCCAGCAGCCGCGGUAAUACGUAGGUGGCAAGCGUUAUUCGGAUUAAUUGGGCGUAAAGGGCGUGUAGGCGGGUACGCAAGUAAGAUGUGAAAACACAGGGCCUAACCCUGAGGCUGCAUUUAAAAUUGUGUUACUUGAGUGCUGGAGAGGCAAGCGGAAUUCCGUGUGUAGCGGUGGAAUGCGUAGAUAUACGGAGGAACACCAGUGGCGAAGGCGGAUUGCUGGACAGUAACUGACGCUGAGGCACGAAAGCGUGGGGAGCAAACAGGAUUAGAUACCCCAGUAGUC
rnacentral:rRNA from 1 species